AUUAAUAAUCAGAGGGUCGGGAAUCCUCACAAAUUAAU
rfam:Flavobacteria bacterium MS024-2A ctg70, whole genome shotgun sequence.